rnacentral:tRNA from 1 species
GGGCGUAGCUCAGUGGUAGAGCACAACCUUGCCAAGGUUGGGGUCGAGGGUUCGAAUCCCUUCAC